AUUGAACGCUGGCGGCAGGCCUAACACAUGCAAGUCGAACGAGUGGCGGACGGGUGAGUAAUGUCUGGGAAACUGCCUGAUGUAGGGGGAUAACUACUGGAAACGGUAGCUACUACCGCAUACCAUCAGAUGUGCCCAGAUGGGAUUAGCUAGUUGGGGGGGUAACGGCUCACCAAGGCGACGAUCCCUAGCUGGUCUGAGAGGAUGACCAGCCACACUGGAACUGAGACACGGUCCAGACUCCUACGGGAGGCAGCAGUGGGGAAUAGUGCACAAUGGGCGAAAGCCUGAUGCAGCCAUGCCGCGUGUAUGAAGAAGGCCUUCGGGUUGUAAAGUACUUUCAGCGGGGAAGCGUUACCCGCCGAGGAAGCACCGGCUAACUCCGUGCCAGCAGCCGCGGUAAUAC
rnacentral:rRNA from 1 species